GGUUUGUAGCUCAGUGGUAGAGUGCAUGCCUUGCAUACAUGAGGCACUGGGUUUGAUCCUCAGCACCA
rnacentral:tRNA from 1 species